CCAGGUGUCGAUCUCGAAGUGCCCGAUGUGGAUCUUGUCCACGUACUUCACCUUGGUGAUCUGUGGGGACAGGUAAAUCACACCUGAGACACACCUGGGACAGGUAACUCACACCUGGAUACACCUGAGAUAAACCUGGAUACACCUGAGAUACCCCAACCCCCCCCCCAGGCGUCGAUCUCGAAGUGCCCGAUGUGGAUCUUGUCCACGGACUUCACCUUGGUGAUCUGUGGGGACAGGUAAAUCACACCUG